UACAGAGGUCUCAAGCGUUGUUCGGAAUCACUGGGCGUAAAGGGUGCGUAGGUGGCGUGGAAAGUCAGAUGUGAAAUUCGGGGGCUCAACCUCCGGACUGCAUCCGAUACUCCCAUGCUAGAGAACUGGAGGGGAGUCUGGAAUUCUCGGUGUAGCAGUGAAAUGCGUAGAUAUCGAGAGGAACACUAGUGGCGAAGGCGAGACUCUGGACAGUAUCUGACACUGAGGCACGAAGGCUAGGGUAGCGAACGGG
rnacentral:rRNA from 1 species